UAAUAGGUGUUUAUGGCACUUCUUAAAUCCAUAUCCACCUUGUGUGCAAUGUCAGCCGUUUUCUUUAUGAAAGCGGCCAAACAUCAACUUAUUUUUUAACUGUCUGUCUGAAAACUAUUAUGAAUAAACAAUUCAAAUA
rnacentral:misc_RNA from 1 species